rnacentral:rRNA from 1 species
UGAGGAAUAUUGGUCAAUGGACGAGAGUCUGAACCAGCCAAGUAGCGUGCAGGAUGACGGCCCUCCGGGUUGUAAACUGCUUUUAGUUGGGAAUAAAAAGGUGACGUGUCAUCUAUUGUAUGUACCAUCAGAAAAAGGACCGGCUAAUUCCGUGCCAGCAGCCGCGGUAAUACGGAAGGUCCAGGCGUUAUCCGGAUUUAUUGGGUUUAAAGGGAGCGUAGGCGGAGAGAUAAGUCAGCGGUGAAAGUCAGUGGCUCAACCAUUGAAUUGCCGUUGAAACUGGUUGGCUUGAGUACGUACGGGGCAGGCGGAAUGCGUGGUGUAGCGGUGAAAUGCAUAGAUAUCACGCAGAACCCCGAUCGCGAAGGCAGCCUGCCAGGCCGUGACUGACACUGAUGCACGAAAGCGUGGGUAUCGAACAGGAUUAGAUACCCUGGUAGU